GAUGAAGAACGUAGCGAAAUGCGAUACGUAAUGUGAAUUGCAAAUUCAGUGAAUCAUCGAGUCUUUGAACGCACAUUGCGCCCCCUGGUAUUCCGGGGGGCAUGCCUGUCCGAGCGUCAUUGCUGCCCUCAAGCACGGCUUGUGUGUUGGGCCCCGUCCUCCGAUCCCGGGGGACGGGCCCGAAAGGCAGCGGCGGCACCGCGUCCGGUCCUCGAGCGUAUGGGGCUUUGUCACCCGCUCUGUAGGCCCGGCCGGCGCUUGCCGAUCAACCCAAAUUUUUUAUCCAGGUUGACCUCGGAUCAGGUAGGGAUACCCGCUGAUCUUAGGCAUAUCAAUAAGCGGAGGA
rnacentral:misc_RNA from 1 species